AUCGUUUCUAACGGUAGUAGUAGAACAAGAAAUUGAAGAAUAUUAUGACAUCACUUGGACACCUCAGCAUACUCUAUUCUUUGGCUAAAUUGAAUAAGAAUGAAUUCACAUAUGUUAAGAAUUGAUGCCUAAAGGCAUCAUUAAAGGAAAAAAGCUAGAUUCUAGGUUGUAGCAAUUGAUCUAUAUGACUUGAGCUUUCAAGGAUUUUUUUUCCUUCUGUUUGUGUGCUUGGUUGGCUGGUUGUUUUUUUAAGAUAGAAUCAUUGAGUUUUCCUUAAGUAGAACGAGGAAACCUCGGUGACAUCCAAGAUGAUAGAAAAUUAGCUUAGACUUCCUUAGAGGACGGACCAGCGAGGAGGGUUGAGUGUUCUUUGACAAAGUCCAUUUUGUGUCCUCUGAGGCUUAGUCAUUAAAAUAUAUGUAAAGCAGUUUUUGUAAAGGUCAAGAAAUAGCGGACUCCUCUGUAGUGUGGAUCAAGGAACAAAGAGCGAGCAUUUCAAUAGUGGAGAUUUUCAUCAAAGGUAGAAAUAAUGUACGAAACGGGGGGGGGGGGAUGAAUUCGUCAACUGGGAUUUAAUAUGGCGCUACUAGGGAGGCACGUGGUGUGCGCGUGCAUUUGCACAACAGAAACCGUGUAAACCAUGUCUAGUUAAGGACUGGCCAAGCCGCCCCUUUAUGAGCAUGGACAAGGCAAAUGGAAUCUCUACGAGGCACCUCUGAAAAUUUCUCAGCUGCUAAUUAGACAAAAUCGGAUCUUGACUCCGGACACGGACCACCCGGAUGCAUCUGUCUCCUGGUUAAGGCGGUUUCUCAGGACUUUGGCUCCAGCGAUAGCCUCCGCUGUCCACAAAGCCACGGCACAAUAUCAGGGUCUCAGACUUCAGGCAGCUCAUCCGCUAGGCUCAGCACGUGCCGCCCAGUCCAACAGGCCUAUGAGGAGGCAAGAGCCAACAUCCUGGACCGGAGAAGAGAAGGGUGAUGUGCAGGCAGCAUUGCAUGAAGCUGCGGGGAGAGGAGGCUCUUCUCUUUCCCCAACAAGACGCCUGCCGCAGAUCUCCUCCAGCGGAACCCAGCAGGAAGGGGAAGUUGUCCCAGUGCCCCAGCUUUUAGCGAGUUCCCAGUUCCGGUUAGUUACCAAUCCAAAGACAAUUCCUGUUCUGUACAUGAGAAUUAUUCCUCCAUCCUGCUCUAAAAAUAAUGCCUUGCCUCUCCACAGCACCCAGAGGAUCCUCUUUGAUCCCAAUGGCAAAAUCAGGAGUGCCACGUCUUCAGUUUACAGUCAAGGAAACGAAGGCCUAGAACUUGGAACUGAAUUGCUCGUGGGCCUGCAGUAAAUAGCGCCAAUCAGACUCCAGUCAGAGCCUUCUGACUAUAAAUGUGAGGGCCUUGGUGUCUGCAGCCACUCGCCUUGUGUUCCUACUGCCGUAACUCCGGGGCAGGAUGAGUGGGCUACUGUAACAGUUGCUAAAUGCUUUCCCUACUUCUACUGUUUCCCUCAAUCCCCUCCUCCAGCCCACCCUUCACACCGGGGCAGAUUCAUCUCAUGUAUGCAGAGAUCCGGCCCUGUCCCUCCCGGUCAAACGUUCCAUUGCUUCCGUUGGCUUGGAGAAUAAAGUUGCCUCUCCUUGGGGUGCUUCCCUCCCU
ensembl:lncRNA